UAUUUUUACAUCUUACGAUGCAAAAGAAGACUAUUUUAUUAACACUGUGCAUUUUUGCAAGCUCUUUUGCAAUUAAUAGUGACGACGAUGACGGUCCUCCAAAGAGAUAUGAUGGAUAUUCUGUAUUUCGUGUCACACCAUCCAAUGAAGCCGAUCUGAAAUUUCUUCAAUGGCUUCGCAAUGAUGUUGAGUUCGAUUUUUGGACUAAUCCUGGAGUUAUUGGAAAACCAGUAGAUAUAAUGAUUCCUCCUGAAAAAUUGCUACUGUUUAAUGAAAGUUUCACUGCAAAUAAAAUAGAUUUUUCUCUUCUUACUAAUGAUGUACAAAGAUUGAUCGACGAAGAGAAUGAACUUUUAAACAGCCCCGAGCCAAAACGUCAGAAAAGAUCUUUACUAUCGUUCUUCCGUAAAUUUCAAAAGAAGAAUGCGUUUUACGACUAUUUAGGCCAGUUACUUUAUCACUUUCAACCAAAAAUUCAAGUAGUAACUGUUGGAAGAACUUUCCGCGGAAACGAACUCAAACUAGUCAAAUUAUCAACUGGUCCUCGCAACGCCAACAAACCAAUUAUAUGGAUUGAUGGCGGAAUACAUGCAAGAGAGUGGAUUGCACCAGCCACAGCUAUGUAUAUCAUAUUUAAAAUUUUGAAUUCAUAUGAAACUAAUAAGAAAGUGAGAAAAUUGUUAGAUACUUAUGACUGGUAUAUCAUGCCCUUAGUCAAUCCAGAUGGAUACGAUUAUACAUUCAAACAUGACCGUUUUUGGAGAAAGAAUCGUUCUCAAAGUCGAAUACAUAAAGAAGGAGUUGACCUGAACCGAAAUUUUCCAUUUGACUGGAACACCCCUAACACGGACGUAUUGUCUCGCUAUCCAAAUACGGAUCAAUAUAGGGGACCAGAACCAAUGUCAGAAUUAGAAACUAAAGCUAUAGCAAGAACCUUAACGGAAGUUAAAGAAAGAGUAAAACUGUUUUUAACCUUACAUUCUUAUGGACAAUUUAUAAUGUUUCCAUGGGGUUCCAGAGAAGAGCAUUGCGACGACUAUGAUACUCUAUACUUUUAUUUUUUAAUUGAAGAAACAUGUUGGAAUUCGUGCAGCAGAAGCUAUUAGAAAAUCUUCUGGAGCACAGUAUAAGUCUGACAGCAUAAAUGAAAUAGUGGGUAUUGCCACGGGAAAUUCGGUAGAUUGGGCAUAUGGGGCACUAAAUAUAAAAUACUCAUUUGGCUUUGAAUUGCGAGACAAAGGAGUCAAAGGAUGGCAAAUAAGUACUAGAGAGAUAAUUCCUGUGGGCGAAGAAGUUUG
rnacentral:misc_RNA from 1 species